rnacentral:rRNA from 1 species
UAGUCCACGCAGUAAACGAUGAAUGUUAGUCGUCGGUGAGCUAGUCUCAUCGGUGAUGCAGCUAACGCAUUAAACAUUCCGCCUGGGGAGUACGGUCGCAAGAUUAAAACUCAAAGGAAUAGACGGGGACCCGCACAAGUGGUGGAGCAUGUGGUUUAAUUCGAAGAUACGCGAAGAACCUUACCUAGCCUUGACAUACUUAAGAAUUUUGCAGAGAUGUGAGAGUGCCUUCGGGAGCUUAAAUACAGGUGCUGCACGGCUGUCGUCAGCUCGUGUCGUGAGAUGUUGGGUUAAGUCCCGCAACGAGCGCAACCCUCGUCACUAGUUACUAACGGUUAGGCCGAGGACUCUAGUGAGACUGCCUUCGUAAGGAGGAGGAAGGUGAGGACGACGUCAAGUCAUCAUGGCCCUUACGGCUAGGGCAACACACGUGCUACAAUGGUUAGGACAAUGAGAGGCGAUACCGCGAGGUGGAGCAAAUCUAUAAACCUAAUCUCAGUUCGGA